rnacentral:rRNA from 1 species
CCUACGGGCGGCUGCAGUCGAGAAUCAUUCACAAUGGGGGAAACCCUGAUGGUGCGACGCCGCGUGGGGGAAUGAAGGUCUUCGGAUGGUAAACCCCUGUCAUGGGGGAGCAAAUUAAAAAGAUAGUACCACAAGAGGAAGAGACGGCUAACUCUGUGCAAGCAGCCGCGGUAAUACAGAGGUCUCAAGCGUUGUUCGGAAUCACGGGGCGUAAAGCGUGCGUAGGCUGUUUCGUAAGUCGUGUGUGAAAGGCGCGGGCUCAACCCGCGGACGGCACAUGAUACUGCGAGACUAGAGUAAUGGAGGGGGAACCGGAAUUCUCGGUGUAGCAGUGAAAUGCGUAGAUAUCGAGAGGAACACUCGUGGCGAAGGCGGGUUCCUGGACAUUAACUGACGCUGAGGCACGAAGGCCAGGGGAGCGAAAGGGAUUAGAUACCCGUGUAGUC